UGCUGAUUUGAAUUUCAAU
rnacentral:siRNA from 1 species